rnacentral:tRNA from 1 species
GCGGGCGUGGUGGAACUGGUAGACGCGCUGGACUCAAAAUCCUGUUCCGAGAGGAGUGUGGGUUCGAUUCCCACCGCCCGCACCA